rnacentral:rRNA from 1 species
UACGGAGGGAGCUAGCGUUGUUCGGAAUUACUGGGCGUAAAGCGCACGUAGGCGGCUUUGUAAGUUAGAGGUGAAAGCCCGGGGCUCAACCCCGGAAUUGCCUUUAAGACUGCAUCGCUUGAAUCCGGGAGAGGUGAGUGGAAUUCCGAGUGUAGAGGUGAAAUUCGUAGAUAUUCGGAAGAACACCAGUGGCGAAGGCGGCUCACUGGACCGGUAUUGACGCUGAGGUGCGAAAGCGUGGGGAGCAAGCAGG